rnacentral:rRNA from 1 species
GCAAGUCGAACGAGAAAGCACCUUCGGGUGUGAUUAAAGUGGCAAACGGAUGCGUAACACGUGGGAACCUACCUUAUAGUGCGGGACAACCAUUGGAAACGAUGGCUAAUACCGCAUACGCUCUACGGAGGAAAGAUUUAUCGCUAUAAGAUGGGCCCGCGGUUGAUUAGUUUGUUGGUGAGGUAAUGGCUCACCAAGACUACGAUCAAUAGCUGGUCUGAGAGGACGAUC